UACGGAGGGGGCUAGCGUUGUUCGGAAUUACUGGGCGUAAAGCGCACGUAGGCGGCUUUGUAAGUUAGAGGUGAAAGCCCGGGGCUCAACUCCGGAAUUGCCUUUAAGACUGCAUCGCUAGAAUUGUGGAGAGGUAAGUGGAAUUCCGAGUGUAGAGGUGAAAUUCGUAGAUAUUCGGAAGAACACCAGUGGCGAAGGACGACUUACUGGACACAUAUUGAC
rnacentral:rRNA from 1 species